UAAGGAAUAUUGGACAAUGGAGGCAACUCUGAUCCAGCCAUGCCGCGUGAAGGAAUAAGGCCCUGUGGGUUGUAAACUUCUUUUAGACGGGGCAAAACCCCUUUACGUGUAAAGGGUUGAUGGUACUGUCAGAAUAAGCACCGGCUAACUCCGUGCCAGCAGCCGCGGUAAUACGGAGGGUGCAAGCGUUAUCCGGAUUCACUGGGUUUAAAGGGUGCGUAGGUGGGCAGAUAAGUCAGUGGUGAAAUCUUCCGGCUUAACCGGGAAACUGCCGUUGAUACUAUUUGUCUUGAAUAUUGCGGAGGUAAGCGGAAUAUGUCAUGUAGCGGUGAAAUGCUUAGAUAUGACAUAGAACACCAAUUGCGAAGGCAGCUUACUGCACAAUCAUUGACACUGAGGCACGAAAGCGUGGGUAGCGAACA
rnacentral:rRNA from 1 species